UACCAGAUAUAUAUAAAUCAGAUUAAACUGCACUGACAUGAAAUACCCGCCAGACCAACCAGGUAUUUGGAUACCAGAUAUAUAUAAAUCAGAUUAAACUGCACUGACAUGAAAUACCCGCCAGACCAUCCAGGUAUUUGGAUACCAGAUAUAUAUAAAUCAGAUUAAACUGCACUGACAUGAAAUACCCGCCACAACAUCCAGGUAUUUGGAUACCAGAUAUAUAUAAAUCAGAUUAAACUGCACUGACAUGAAAUACCCGCCACAACAUCCAGGUAUUUGGAUACCAGAUAUAUAUAAAUCAGAUUAAACUAAACUAACAUGAAAUACCUGCCAGACCAUCCAGGUAUUUGGAUACCAGAUAUAUAUAAAUCAGAUUAAACUAUACUAACAUGAAAUACCCGCCAGACCAUCCAGG